AAAAAAAAAUUCUAAAUAAAAAGAAAAAGGAAAAGAAAAAAUUUAAGCGAAAAAGUCUUUAAAAUGUAUAUAAAUAGGUCGGGGCACGUGCCGAUGCGUUCACCCUUGGCAAAGGAAGCAAACAUG
rnacentral:rRNA from 1 species